rnacentral:rRNA from 1 species
UCUAAUAGCUAGGAUCUUUAAACCCAAAGAAUUUGGCGGUACCUUAUUCCAUUCAGAGGAACCUACCCCAUGAUUGAUACUACACGAUUAACUUUACUUAAUUUAUUUGUUUGUAUAUCUCCGUUAUCAGAAAAUCUUUUUAGAGUUAUAAUUUUCUUAAUUUAUAAUUAUAAGGUAUUUCAGGUCAAGGUGCAGCUUAUAAUUAAGAGGAGGUGGGUUACAAUAGAUUUUUAUCUAUAAUGGAUUUAGCAAUGAAACGUUGUUAAUGAAGGUGGAUUUGAUAGUAAUUUAAUUUAUUUAAUUUGUCUGAUAUUGGCUCUGAGGUGUGU